rnacentral:lncRNA from 1 species
GCGGAAAUUGUUGAACUUAAUUGUAAGAGUUGGGAGAGGUAGGGAUGGAAAAAUUCGAAUCACAUGAUGGAUUUUGAAUUUUGGAGUAGAUUUUUUUUUUUUUUUUGGAAAAAUGGGUGUGAGGUGAAGUGGAUUUUUUCUUUUGGAUAGUGGGUAUAGAGCGAUUAUAGUAAUAUAUUGCUAAGUCUUGACUUGCUCCCUUGUAUGAAAUUAUCAUUUUAUCGUUAUACAUAUAAGUUAUUAGAAAAGUAAAAAUGUAAUAAUAUAAUAUAGAAAAAAGACAAAUAUUUUAUGUUUAAAUUUCUUUUAAGAAU